rnacentral:rRNA from 1 species
GCAUCCAGUUAAAACCCAAGACAGGAGAGCCUGCUCUCUGUGUGGCGAGUGGCGGACGGGUGAGGAAUACAUCGGAAUCUACCUUUUCGUGGGGGAUAACGUAGGGGUUACGCUAAUACCGCAUACGACCUACGGGUGAAAGUGGGGGACCGCAAGGCCUCACGCGAUUAGAUGAGCCGAUGUCGAUUAGCUAGUUGGCGGGGUAAUGGCCCACCAAGGCGACGAUCGGUAGCUGGUCUGAGAGGAUGAUCAGCCACACUGGAACUGAGACACGGUCCAGACUCCUACGGGAGGCAGCAGUGGGGAAUAUUGGACAAUGGGCGCAAGCCUGAUCCAGCCAUACCGCGUGGGUGAAGAAGGCUUCGGGUUGUAAAGCCCUUUUGUUGGGAAAGAAAUCCUGUCGAUUAUACUCGGUGGGGAUGACGGUACCCAAAGAAUAAGCACCGGCUAACUUCGUGCCAGCAGCCGCGGUAAUACGAAGGGUGCAAGCGUUACUCGGAAUUACUGGGCGUAAAGCGUGCGUAGGUGUGGUUUAAGUCUGCUGUGAAAGCCUGGGCUCAACCUGGGAAUUGCAGUGGAUACUGGAUCACUAGAGUGUGGUAGAGGGAUGCGGAAUUUCUGGUGUAGCAGUGAAAUGCGUAGAGAUCAGAAGGAACAUCCGUGGCGAAGGCGGCAUCCUGGGCCAACACUGACACUGAGGCACGAAAGCGUGGGGAGCAAACAGGAUUAGAUACCUGGUAGUCCACGCCCUAAACGAUGCG